rnacentral:rRNA from 1 species
ACGCUCGACACCUACGGGGCAGCAGUGGGGAAUAUUGCACAAUGGGGGAAACCCUGAUGCAGCGACGCCGCGUGAGCGAAGAAGUAUUUCGGUAUGUAAAGCUCUAUCAGCAGGGAAGAAGAGAGACGGUACCUGACUAAGAAGCCCCGGCUAACUACGUGCUAGCAGCCGCGGUAAUCUGAGCGGGCUGGCAAGGC